rnacentral:rRNA from 1 species
GUGCAGCAGUCGCGAAACCUUCGCAAUAAGCGAAAGCUUGACGGGGCUAUCCCGAGUGCCGUCCGCUGAGGAUGGCUUUUCCCCAGUGUAGAUAGCUGGGGGAAUAAGGAGAGGGCAAGUCUGGUGUCAGCCGCCGCGGUAAUACCAGCUCUCCGAGUGGUGAGGACGUUUAUUGGGCCUACAGCAUCCGUAGCUGGCUGAGCAAGUCCCCUGUUAAAUCCAGCGAUUUAAUCGUUGGACUGCGGAGGAUACUGUUCAGCUUGGGGGCGGGAGAGGCCGACGGUAUUCUCGGGGUAGGGGUGAAAUCCUAUAAUCCCGGGAGGACCACCAGUGGCGAAGGCUGUUGGCUAGAACACGCCCGAUGGUGAGGGAUGAAAGCUGGGGGAGCGAACGGGAUUAGAUAUGAAGUUGAGUGUUUACCAGCUUCACUAGAUACCCCUGUAGUCC